AGCGAACGCUGGCGGCAGGCUUAACACAUGCAAGUCGAGCGGGCGUAGCAAUACGUCAGCGGCAGACGGGUGAGUAACGCGUGGGAACGUACCUUUUGGUUCGGAACAACACAGGGAAACUUGUGCUAAUACCGGAUAAGCCCUUACGGGGAAAGAUUUAUCGCCAAAGGAUCGGCCCGCGUCUGAUUAGCUAGUUGGUGAGGUAACGGCUCACCAAGGCGACGAUCAGUAGCUGGCUGAGAGGAUGAUCAGCCUCACUGGGACUGAGACACGGCCCAGACUCCUACGGGAGGCAGCAGUGGGGAAUAUUGGACAAUGGGCGCAAGCCUGAUCCAGCCAUGCCGCGUGGGUGAUGAAGGCCUUAGGGUUGUAAAGCCCUUUCGGCGGGGAAGAUAAUGACGGUACCCGCAGAAGAAGCCCCGGCUAACUUCGUGCCAGCAGCCGCCGU
rnacentral:rRNA from 1 species